AGGAGUCAGUAAAGGCACUGAAGCUAGACUCAAAGACCUGGGCACGGUGGCUGAAGAGGCAGAGGCUGCCUGGAGCUUGGUGGGUCAGCCCCUUCCCAG
rnacentral:miRNA from 1 species